AGAGUUUGAUCCUGGCUCAGAUUGAACGCUGGCGGCAUGCUUUACACAUGCAAGUCGAACGGUAGAGGGGCAACCCUUGAGAGUGGCGAACGGGUGAGUAAUGCAUCGGAACGUGCCCAGUAGUGGGGGAUAGCCCGGCGAAAGCCGGAUUAAUACCGCAUGAGACCUGAGGGUGAAAGCGGGGGACUCGCAAGAGCCUCGCGCUACUGGAGCGGCCGAUGUCAGAUUAGCUAGUUGGUGGGGUAAAGGCCUACCAAGGCGACGAUCUGUAGCUGGUCUGAGAGGACGACCAGCCACACUGGGACUGAGACACGGCCCAGACUCCUACGGGAGGCAGCAGUGGGGAAUUUUGGACAAUGGGCGCAAGCCUGAUCCAGCCAUGCCGCGUGCGGGAAGAAGGCCUUCGGGUUGUAAACCGCUUUUGUCAGGGAAGAAAUCUUCUGGGCUAAUACCCUGGGAGGAUGACGGUACCUGAAGAAUAAGCACCGGCUAACUACGUGCCAGCAGCCGCGGUAAUACGUAGGGUGCAAGCGUUAAUCGGAAUUACUGGGCGUAAAGCGUGCGCAGGCGGUUAUACAAGACAGAUGUGAAAUCCCCGGGCUCAACCUGGGAACUGCAUUUGUGACUGUAUAGCUAGAGUACGGUAGAGGGGGAUGGAAU
rnacentral:rRNA from 1 species